UAUACACCGCCAAAAGUAAAGGACCUGGCACAGAAUCGACUAAAAAACGGAUGCAAAAGGGAAUAGAACUUGCAGCGAAGGCAAUUUUCGGAUCGCACUAUAUGUACCCUAAACACACUUGACUGGUCACGACUCACGAAUUGUUUUUUUUUAUUAAUCCCUUUUCUGCGUUUUCUUUUUUACUGCAGUGAAUAUUAUUGAGCUGAUUGAGAUUAAUAUAUCUGUAAUUUUCAUCUUUGUUUUACACCAACUAAUUUUAUUUCCUACAAACAAUUUAAGUUAAUAAUUGAAUGCAGCUACCAAGCAGUGAGGACGAAAAUUUUAGCGCUGGAACUAUGUUCAUCCCUUUUUAGUGGGUUGGAAAAUAAAUUUUACGGUGAAAUUCAUUCAGCUUUUGUGUAGAAGGUUCAUUUGUACAUUGUUCGACAUAUCGCCAGCGACAAUCAUUGAAUCUUUGUGGGUCAAAUAACAUAUCACGGCUAAUACCAAGACAAAAUAGAUAACAAGAUUCCACUCGAUUUUCGCCAAACAGUCCUACACCAAUGUUUUGAUAUCAGUAUAUAUAUUUAUGAGUAUCAAUGUGUAAAGUAAUAUGAUUAAAUCACAUUACAGAACACCAAGAAUAAAUGUGAGAAUUAUAAAACAA